GUGGCAACAGAUGCAGCGCUCAAUUUACCGGCUGGUCUGGAGUCAGCACGCUCCACCAGGGCCGACGGUUACUCAGAUUACAGGGAGGCGGAGUGCACUGUUUCAAAAGCAGCAGUGACGGCAGCACAGAGAGCAGCAGAGCAGUCAUGAGGACCGAGUCGGCCUGCCCCUGGCUCACAUGGAGAGGACAGGCGCUGGAGAUAAGAGAAACGUUUGUGUGACACCAUUGCACACACAAGAGCGAGGGGAGGGUCCGCUGGUGCUGGGGCCUCCUGCAGCACGACAUGUUUACUCACCGCAGUGGACAGCCUGGAGGCGAGGGUCAUCUCAAGGUUGCCUUUCAGCCCGAGGAGUGCCGGCACCAGGAUGAAGACCUCACUCACCUCAGUGAACACCGUCCAAUGCUGGGGGUCAGGGUGUUCGGUUGGAGGGAGAGAGAGAGAGGGAGAGAGACCAUGGACAAUGAUGGAGGCACCAUUGAGGAUGCAGCAGGACUCUGACCUUCAGCAGUUCCUGCCUCUCCAUAUCGACUCAGGCGCUGUAACCGGAGCCGACCUCAGCUGGGGCCGAUGUUCUUAAAAGCCUCUGCUGAGCGGAGAGUCUUGAACGUCCUGUGCCUAACGACAUCACUGACCUCUUUCUCCAUCCACGAGAGUGAGUCACAUUAGGCAAGGUCCAGCCAGCCAGGCUGGUGGAAUAAUAUUGGAAAUCAUUUCUUAAUGACCUGCUUAAUGAAGACCUUAAUGACGAAAGAUAUUAACUUGAGCAAAGCCAGACGUGAGGCGCUUUAGCCGGGGGUUGAGGGACUAACAACACCUUUGCUUUGGCUACAAAAAAAACAGACUCAUUACACUGUGUCUGGCAGUGCUACAAAAUGGUCAGUCACAGCAACUGGUCAAGCAUUCAUUUUGAGCCUACUGUCAAAAAAUAAAAGCUUACGACUGCA